AUGAGAGGGAGAAGGUUUAGGCGCAGGGUUCAAAAUGGCGAUUUUGACUUUGCAGCAUUGCUUAGCAUGGCUCUCUGCUUUGUUAGAGUGUUCAAAAUGGCGGACCCACUUUGCCGCAGUGUUCCAGUGGCGGGAAGCCACAUUAUGGGUGUCUUUGUUCUAGCGUGCAGCAUGGCGGUGGAAAUAUUCUGUUACAUAGCAAAAGAUGGCGGCUCAAGUACUUGCCGCAAUCGAAAACAUGGCGGGCCUUUGUCUUUGCCGUGUGCAUUUCCUGACAAAUUUUGCCGCAGGGACAAUAUGGCUGACCUUGUCAUGUGGAUAGCAUGGCAGUCUGUCACGUGGACGUCAUGGCAGGGGUGUUUGACCGUUACAUUCUUGGCGGGCUUUGCACCAGGAGGGCCUGCCGCAUUGUUCAAGAUGGCGGGCUUUGCCGCGAAAAAGUGCAGGAGGGAUUGGCAGCGUUGGAUUGCCGCCCGACACAUCCAAUCAGAAAGGGUGGUGGAAUUGGUCACAGACAGUUAGUGGAGGAUGGAAUUAGUCGGAGUUAGCAUAGCACCUCGCUACCGUCUCUAUUCAGCCAGUCAGCACCGGCCACGUUUGUACUACUCCCAGUGGGUGGUACCCAAGGUCUUUCCAAGGACGUUUGGCCUUUCCACCUCCCUCCCCUCUCACUGGCUCCCUCCCCUCCAGCAUUACCACCUGCUGUGCUGAACUUUAGGCUAUAUGGGCUGAACCUCACACCAUUCCUCUGCAUUGGUGGCCUAAGGCUAACUUACUACCCCUUCCCCGCCUCCCCCUCCCCCGCCUCUGCUCUUCUGCACUGUGGCCAGGGGCAGUGCUCCAUGCCUGCCAAGUGUGAACAUGGCGGUGAGUCGUGGCAAGGACCAGAAUGGAUCGCAGAUGAUCGUUGGCCAACAGGUGGCGGAAGAGGAAUCCCUGUCUUCCUCAAGAGGAACACCUACCCCGUGGCUAAUGCUGGGGUCGGAUUUUGAUUUCUAUUUAUUUCUUGGAUGUCAGUCAUAUAUAGUUUGAUUAUGUGGUUUGCUAGUGUUCGAUUUAAGCCUUAAGUGACUACUAUGGUAAUGUAUUUAGGGACUUUGUUAUUUGUAGAAUUCAUUUCAGUUACAUUUAGUGGGUUUUCAUUUUGGGGUUCCUUUGAAAUUCCUUAAAGUUUUCAAUUUCUUUUUUUUACAAAUGCUUACAUUUCUUUAUCUUUAUAUAGUCAAAGUCAAUAAUUUGGCAUUUAUAAGUUUUUACUACUUUUUUACUUUGAAAUUGACUUAAUGAACUACUUCCUUUUGGAUUUUUGAAGUCUUAUAGUACAAAAAUAGUUAAUUUAAAAUUUAACAUUAUGACCAAAUAAUCUUUGAAGGUCCUCUUCUGUCCAGGUCUUGCUUUGUUCCCAUCCUUAAUGCUGCACUGAUUGAAUAAUGACCUACCUAUCUGCAGAAAACUUGAAUUGCUGUGGACUUCUUCUACUCUAAUUUAUUAUAUUGGAGUAUUAUUGCCCAUAAUUUCAAUUUUCUGUGGUGACCUGUCUCCACAGGCCCCAGCUCCUCUCCACACCUCUUCCCAGCAAACCCAUAUUUAGCCCCAGCCCCUGCCCCUGCCCCUGCCCCAGCCCUUGCCCCUGCCCCAGCCCCUGCCCCUGCCCCAGCCCCAGCCCCUGCCCCUGCCCCUGCCCCUGCCCCAGCCCCAGCCCCAACCAAGCCCCAGCCCCAGCCCCAGCCAAGCCCCUGUCCCACUCCUGUUUCUCCCUAAAGCCAGUCCAGUUUGUAUUGAUUUGAUGCUAAAAAUAAGUUUCAGUUGCUCUUCCAUCAGACUGGGAUACCUUGUCUGCCUCUAGCAUUGCUGAUCUUGAGUGCUGACUACCUGAGUCACCAUUUUCAAUUAAUGUACACAAUCCCAUUUGCCCAUUAUCUCAUGUUAGAACAAAGAAUUUGUGCAAUAAUGUUAGGAAAUUUAAUUGUGAGCUUCAUAUCAGACAAUUAUUGUCCAUAAAUCUGCUUACUCAUCAUCUCAAUCUCCUGCCUUUAAGGAAGGAGAAACCAUUCCUCUGUCAUUGCUGCAGUAGUCAAAAUCCCAGUUUUCUGGAAAGUGCAUAUAUACUGUGCUGACCACCUAAACUCUUUGCACUCAGUGAAAUUCUAAUUGUCCAUAAUCCUGCAUUGGACUAAAUCCCAAUUUAAAAACCCUUUUGCAUUCAGCAGUCCCAGUUGUCAUACCCUUGUCUGUUAAACAAAGGCAUCCUACCAUUUUUACCCUCUUGUGAGUCCUCCUGUUCUUGGACAAUUAAAGUACCAAAUUGUAAUUGUACAUUGUCUCACUCAUUAAUCAAUGACCUUCUGUCCCGUUUGCAUUGCUAUUAGGCAGUGCUGACUAUCUGAGACCAUGUUCCUUGAAUUAUUAUUAUUGACUAGAAUACCAAUUGUUCAUUACACAAAUCCUUUGCAGCUUCUUUGCACUAUAAGGGAAGUGCCCAUCACUAAAGUCCUUUACUUCGGAAUAUUAAUGGAUACAAUCAUUACUGGUCAUGGUCCUGCCUACCAGAUAAGACCCACCCAUGCUCUUUUCAUUGUUCUUAGGUAGUGUGGACUACCUACCACCUUGCAUUAAUAUUUAAAAUCCUCAUUGUCCAUUGUCCCACUGUUAGCCUAGGAUAUCUCUUACCUCUAUGCCAUUUCUUCUAAGGAGUUCUGAUUACCCUAAGUCCUUUCUCUUAAACAAUUUAUGUGCAUAAUUGCAUAUACCUGUGGUCUCAUGCAAUUAAAAAUUAAAUCCUACACUCUGUGGAAUAUUGCUAGGUAGUGCAAAUUAUUCAAGGACUCAGCUUUGGGACAGGUAAUCCGCACAGUUGCGGUUGUCCAGAGUCCCAUCCAUUUUAGUGGGCCAGCUGUGUCCCAUAUGCGCUGCCUAGCGCGUGUCACGGCGGACCCGGUAUGCGAACUCACUAAUGCGNNNNNNNNNNNNNNNNNNNNNNNNNNNNNNNNNNNNNNNNNNNNNNNNNNNNNNNNNNNNNNNNNNNNNNNNNNNNNNNNNNNNNNNNNNNNNNNNNNNNGGAUGUGCUUAAAUGUAUCUACAGUCCCUUUUGUUAACCUAUGAUCCCGUUCCCAUCUAACACCCUUUGCAUGACUGCAGAGGGUACUUGGGAUAGUUAAUGCGCUCAAUUAGAGCUACAGAUCCUUCUGUUAGUGGAGAUUCCCAUGCCCUCCUACUCCAUUUGCAUUACCAAAGGGAGUACAAGGGACUGUUAAUGGGCCUAAAUGCAGCUACAGUCCCUAUGUUAACCUAGGAUCCCAUUUCCACCUAACUCCCUUUUCAUUAAUACAGAGCCUACAUGGGACUUAAUGGGCUUUAUUGUACUACUGUCCCUUCCAUUAAUCUAGCAUCCCAUCCCCACAUAAUUCCCUUUGCAUUACAAGGGAGGAUACAAGGGACUUUUAAUGGGCUUAAAUGCAGGUUCAGUCCCUUUCUUAUUUUACCUAGGAUCCCAUUCCCACAUAAUUCCCUUUGCAAAACCACAGAGUACAAGGUACUGUUACUUACUGUACUUAAAAGCAGCUAUAAGAUACUCAUGUUGCAACAGAAGAAAGGGUGGGGGAAAAACUGUAAUUGCAAUGUAUACAUGUAAGGAUAACCUGACCCCCUUGCUGUACAGUGGGAAAAAAAAAAAAAAAAAAAAAGCAGCUAUAGUCACUUAUGUUUAUGUAGAACUCCAUUUCCACUAACUCCCUUUUCAUGACUGCAGAGGGUAUCUGGGACUGUUAAUGGGCUUUAUUGCAGCUACAGUCCCUUCUGUUUGUCUGGAUUCCCAUCCAGUCCUAUACAAUUUGCAUUACCACAGAAUAUCUAAGGUAACUAGCUUAAUGAGCUUAAAUACAGCUACAAUCCUUUAUGUUAACCUAAAAUUCCAUCCCCACCUAAUUCUUUUAGGACGGCUGCUGAGAGUACAUGGGACUGUUAAUGGGCUAUUUUGCAACUACAGUCCCUUCUGUUAGUCUAGAAUCUGUUUCCAUCCUACUCCAUUUGCAUUACCCUAUAGCGUAUAAGGGACUGUUAAUGUGCUUAAAUGGAGCUGUGUAGUCCCUUAUCUUAACCUGGUAUCACACCCCAACUAAUUCUCUUUUCAUACUGCAGAGCCUACGUGGAACUUGUUAAUGGACUUAAUUGCACUGCUGUCCCGUCUAUUAGUCUAGGAGUCCACCCUUCCUACUCAGUUUACAUUACCCUAGAGUGUAUGAGACUGUUAAUGUGGUUAAAUGCAUCUGACUGUUAUGUUUACCUAUGAUCCCAUUCUCACAUAAUUCCUUUGCAAUACCGUAAAAGGUAAAAGGAAUGUUACUGUGCUUAAAAGAAGCUAUAGUCAUUUACAUUUAUCUAGGACCCUGUUCCCAUCUAACUGACUUUCAGUGACACAGGGGGCAGUUGGGACUGUUAAUGGGCUUUAUUGCAGCUAUAGUCCCUUGUGUUAAUCUGGAAUCACUUUCCUUCCUGCUCAAUUUGUAUUACAACUGAAGGGAACUGGGACUGUCAAUAUGCUUAGGUGCAGCUACAGAUCCUCACCUUAACCUAGGAUCCCGUUCCCACCUAACUAUCUUUUUGUUAAUGCAAAGCCUAUGUGGGACUUGUUAGUGGGCUUAAUCGCACUAUUGUCCCUUCUGUUAUUUUAGGAUCCCCUUUUCCUACUCGAUUUGCAUUACCUUAAGAUGUAUGAGACUGGAUUUGCUUAAAUGCAUCUACAGUUCCUAUGUUAACCUAUGAUCCCAUUCCCAUCUAACACCCUUUGCAUGGCUGCAGAGGGAACUUGGGAUAGUCAAUGGGCUCGAUUAGAGCUACAGUCCCUUCUGUUGGUUGAGAUUCCCGUUCCCUUACUCGUUUUGCAUUACCAAACGGGGGAAGAAAGGGCUGUUAAUAUGCUUAAAUGCAAUUACAGUCCCUUAUGCUAACCUGGGAUUCAUCCCCAAAUAACUCCCUUUUCGGGAUUGCAGAGGAUACUUGGGACUGUUAAUGGGCUUAACUGCAUCUAUAGUCUCUUCUGUAAGUCUAGAAUCUGUUCCUUUCCUACUUGAUUUGCAUUACUACAGAGGAUACAAGGGACAGUAAAGAGGCUUAAAUAUAGCUGCAAUCCCUUAUGUUAACCUAGGAGCCUGUCCACAGUUAUUUCCCUUUUCAUUAAUGCAGAGCCUACAUAGGACUUGUUAAUAGCCUUAAUUGCUCUACUGACCCCUCCCGUUAGUUUGGGAUCCCAUCCUCACCUAAUUCUCUCUGCAUUACCAGGGAGGAUACAAGGGACUCUUAAUGUGCUUAAAUGAAGGUACAGUCCUUUUUUUUAAACCUAGGAUUUCAUUCCCAUGUAACUCCAUUUGCACUACCACAGAGGGUACAAGGGGCGAAUGAGCCUAAAAGCAGCUACAGUCCCUUAUGUUAACCUAAGGAUCCUGUCUCCUAGGAACUCCCUUUUCCUGGCUGCAGAGGAUACUUGGGACUGUUAGUGAGAUUUACUGUAGCUACAGUCUCUUUUAUUAGUCUAGAUUCCCAUUACCAUCCUAGAUGUUUUGCAUUACCACGGACUAUACAAGGGACCAUUAUAGGGCUUAAAUGCAGCUCCAGUCCCUUAUUAACCUAGAAUCUCAUCCCCACCUACAGCCUUUUUCAUGCUGCAGAGGGUACUUGGGACUGUUGAUUGGCUUUAUUGCAGCUGCAGUCCCUUCUGUUAGUCUAGAAUCUGUUUCCAUCCUACUCCAUUUGCAUUACCACAGAGGGGACAAGGGACUGUUAAUGUGCUUAAAUAGAACCACAGUCCCUUAUGUUAAAUGAGGAUCCCAUCCCCAACUAACUCUCUUUUCAUUACUGCAGAGCUUAAGUAGGACUUGUUAAUAGACUAUUGCAUUACUGUUCUGUUAUUCUAUAGGUUCCCAUCCCUCAUUCUAUUUGCAUUACCCUAGAGUGUAAAGGGACUGUUAAUGAGCUUCUAUGGCUCUACAGACCCUUACGUUACCUAUGAUCUUUUUGCCACUUAACUCCCUUUUCAUGCCUAUAGAGAGUACUUGGGACUGUUAAUGGGCUUUAUUAUGGCUACAGUCCCUUCUGUUUGUCCAGAAUUUGUUACUUUUCUACUCGACUUGCACAGAUGGUACAAGGGACUGUUAAUGUGCUUAAAUGAAGCUACUGUCUCUUAUGUUUAAAUAAAAUCCCAUUCCCCACCUAAAACUCUUGCAUGGCUGUAGAAGGUACUUGGGACAGUUAAUGGCUUUAAUUAGAGCUACAGUCCCUUCUAUUGGUCAAUAUUCCCAUGCCCAUACUCCAUUUGCAUUACCAAAGGGAGUACAAGAGACUGUUGGUAUGCUUCAAUGCAAUUACAGUCUCUUAUGUUAACCUACGAUCUGAUACCCAACUAUCUCCCUUUUUAUUAAUGCAGAAGCUACAUGGGACUUGUUAACGGCUUUAAUUGCACUACUGUCCUUCCAUUAGUCUAAGAUCCCAUCCCCAACCUGAUUGCCUUUACAGUACCAACCAAGGAAGAUACAAGGGACUGUCAGUGUGCUUAAAUGCAAUUACAGUCCCUUUUAAAUUUUACCCAGGAUCCCAUUCCCCCUUAUCUCCCUUUUCAACACUACAGAGGGUACAAUUGACUUACUGUGCUUAAAAGAAGCUAUAGUCCCUCAUGUUAACCUAAGGAUCUCAUCCCCAACUAACUCUCCUUUCAUGACUACAGAGAGUACUUGGGACUGUUAAUGGGCUUUAUUGUAGCUAUAGUCCCUUUUGUUAGUCUAGACUACCAUUUACUACAUGAUUUGCAUUACCACAGAAUAUGCAAGGGACUGUUACUGCGCUUAAAUGCAGUUACAGACCCUUAUGUUAAUCUAGAAUCCCAUCCCCAACUAUCUCUCUUCAUUAAUGCAGAGCCUGCAUAGGACUUAUUAACAACCUUUAUUGCACUACAGUCUCUUCUGUUAGUCUAGGAGCACAUCCCCUCCUAGUUCCCUUUACAUUACUAAAGAAGAUACAAGGGACUGUUGAUGGGCUUAAAUACAACUACUGUCCGUUAUGUUAACCUAGGAUCCCAUCUCCACCUGAAUCCGUUUGCAUGACUGCAGAGGGACCUUAGGCUUUAUUACGGGCGGCUACAGCCCCUUCUGGUAGUUUAGCUUCUGUUGCUGUCCUACUGGAUUUGCAUUACUACAGAUGGUGCAAGAGACUGUUAACGUGUUUAUUAAAUGGAGCUACAGUCUUUUGGGUUUACUUAGAAUCCCUUUUCUCUAACCUAAAACCCUUUGCAUGACUGUAGAGGGUACUUGGGACUGUUAAUGGGCUUAAUUAGAGCUAUAGUCCCUUUUAUUUGUUUAGAUUCUCGUGCCUUCCUACUCUAUCUGCAUUACUAAAGAGACUGUAAUGCACUAUUUAUGUGCUUAAGUGGAGCUCCAGCUCUUGUGUUAACCUAGCAUCCUAUUUCUACCUAACUCCCUUUUCAUAACUGCAGAGCCUAUGUGGGACUAUUAGUGAACUUUACUGCAGUUACCUUCUGUUAGUGUAGAUUCCCAUCCUCUUUUAUAUGAUUUGAUAACCACAGACUGUACAAUGGACUACCAAUGUGCUUAAAUGCAGCUACAGUCCUUUAUGUUAAGCUAGAAUCCCAUUCUCACCUAACUCUUCUCAUUGAUGCAGAGCCUAUAUGGGACUUGUUAAUGGGCUUCAUUGCUCUUCUCUGUCCCUUCUACUAGUCUAGAUUCCCAAGCUCUCCUACUCAAUUUGCAUUACCAAGGGGGGUACAAUGGACUGUUAAUGUGCUAAAAUGCAGCUACAAUCUCUUACAUUAAUCUAGAAUCUCAUGCCCCAACUAACGCCCUUUGCAUGGCUUCAAAGGAUACUUGGGACUCUUAAUGGGCUGAAAUACAGCUACAGUCUCUUAUGAUAACCUAGGAUCCCAUUCUCACCUAUCUCCCUUUUCAUUGCUGCAGAGCCUGCAUGGGACUUGUUAAUGGUCUUAAUUGCACUGCUGUCCCUUUCGUUAGUCUAGGAUUCUAUCCCCUCAUAAAGAAUUACAUUACCGUAGAGGUUUCAAGGGAAUGGUAAUGUGCUAAAUGCACAUAGUCCCCCUCUUUUUGUAACCUAGGAUCCCAUUCCACCUAACUCCCUUUGCAUUAUCACCAACUGUACAAGUGACUGGUAAUGGGCUUAAAAGCAGCUAUUGUUAACCUAGGAUCCCAUCCCCAUUCAACUUCCUUUGCAUGAGUGCAGAGGACACUUGGGACUGUUAAUGAGUUGUAUUGCUGCUACAGUCCCUCCUGUUAUUCUAGGAUCCAUGCCUUUUUUGAUUUGCAUUGCAGGGGAGGGUACUAGGGACUGUUAAUGUACUUAAAUAGAGCUACAGUCCUUUAUGGUAACCAGGAUCUGGAUCCCACCUAACUGCCUUGUAUUACUUCAGGGCUUACAUAGGACUUUUUUAAUGGGCUUAAUUGCUCUGAUUUCCCUUCUUUUAGUCUAGGUUCCCCUCCCUCCUACUCUAUUUUCAUUACCCCAGAGUGUACAAGGGACUGGUAAGUAUGCUUAAAUGCAAUUAUAGUCCCUUCUGUUAGUCUAGGGUCCCAUUCCCACCUAAUUCCCUUUACAUUACCAAAGGAGAUACAAGGGACUGUCGUUGUGCUUAAGUGUGGGUACAAUCCCCAUUUUUUCUUUUUUCAGCCUAGGAUCCCUUUCCCACCCAAUUGCCUUUGGAUGACUGCAGAGAAUACUGGGGACUGUUAAUGGGCUUUAUUGUAGCCAUAGUCCUUUUUCUUAGUCUGAGAUCCCAUCUCCUCCUAAGUGAUUAACAUUACCCCAGAGUGUAUACAGGACUGGUACUUUGCUAAAUGCAAUUAUAGUCCCUUCUAUUAGUCUAGGAUCCCAUCCCCACCUAAAUCCCUUUACAUUAUCACAGGGGAUAGAUACAAGGGACUGUUGUGCUUAAAUGUAGGUACAGCCCCCCCCCCCCUUUUAACCCUAAGAUAUCUUUCCCACAUAAAUGCCUUUGCAUGACUGCAGAGGAUACUUGGGACUGUUAAUGGGCUUUAUUGUAGCCACAGUCUCUUUCCAUAGUCUGGGAUCCCAUCCCCUCUUAAAUGAUUUACAUUAUCGCAGAGGGCGCAAGGAACUGCAAAGGUGCUUAAAUGCAGGUAGUUGGUUUUUAAACCUAGGAUCCCAUUCCCAGCCUGACUUGCUUUGAAUUACUAAAGAGGCUACAAGGGACUCUUAUGUGUUUAAGUGCAGGUACAGUGCCUUUUGUUAACCUCAAAAUCCAUUCCCACCUAACUCCCUUUUCCUGACUGCAAAGGGUAAUUGGGACUGUUAACGGGCUGUACUGCAGCCACAUUCCUCUCAUAGUCUAGGAUCCCAUUCCCUCCUAUUUGAUUUGCAUUACCCCAGAGGGUACAAGGGACUUUUAAAGUGCUUAAGUGGGAGUUCCUGUCAUGGCACCGCGGAAACGAAACCAACUAAGAACCAUGAGGUUUGGGGUUCAAUCCCUGGCCUUGCUCAGUGGGUUCAGGAUCCAGCGUUGCCCUGGGCUGUGGUGUAGGUCGCAGACGCUGCUCGGAUCUGGCAUUGCUGUGGCUGUGGUGUAGGCUGGCAGCUGUAGCUCCAAUUCGACCCCUAGCCUGGGAACUUCAUAUGCCACAGGUGUGGCCCUAAAAAAAAAAGACAAAAAAAACCAAAAAAAACAAAAAAACCAAAGUGCUUAAGUGGCACUAUAGUCCCUUAUGUUAUCUAGGACCCCAUUCCCAUCUAACUUUUCAUGACUGCAGAGUGUACUUGGGACUGUAAAUGUACUUAACUGCCUAUACAGUCUCACCUCUUAGUCCAGAUUACAUGCCCUCCUACUUGAAUUGUAUUAUAACAGAGGGUACAAGGGACUUUUAAUGUGCUUUUUUAAAAGCAGCUAAAUUUCCUUACCAUAACCUGAAAAUCCAUUUCCAUCUCAAAAUCCACUCCCACCUAACUCCCUUUCCAUCACAGCAGAGGGUACUUGGGACUGUUAAUAGGCUUAAUUAAAGCUAUUCUCCCUUCUGUUGGUCUAGAUUUCCUUUCCCGCCUCUAUUUGGAUUGUACCUCAGUGUACAAUGGACUGUUAACUGUGCUUAAAUGCAGGUACAGUCCUUUUUUUAAAACCUAGGAUCCUAUUCCCACCUAACUCCCUUUGCUUUACUGCAGAGGGUACUUGGGGCUUGUUAAUAGGCUUAGUUGGACUACAGUCCUUUCUGUUAGUCUAGGAUCCCAUCCCCUCCUACGUGAUUUGCAUUUCCACAAAGGCUAUAAGGGACUGUUAAGGUGCUUAUUAAAUGCAAAUACAGUCCCUUAUGUUAACCUGGGAUCCCAUUCCCACCUAUCUCCCUUUGCAUGACUGCAAAGGUAUUUGAGACCUUUAAAGUAGUUAAUGGCUGCUGUAGCCUCUUCCAUUAUAAGUGUACUUUCCCAAGCACUCCAGCUCCAUGUAACCUGGGAGCACAUUUGGGGCUGUUAAUGUGCUCAUUUUUAGCUGUGGUCCCUUUUAUAAUUCUAGGAUCACAUCCCUUUCUGCUUCUUUGUGUUACUUGUUGGUAUUUGGGACAGAAAAGUACUUAAAUGCAGCUGUGAUCUAACUUAGGCUCCCAUGCCCUCUAACUUUUUACAUUACCCCAGUGUAUAUUUGGGACUGUUAAAGUGCUUAAUUGCAGCUGUGGUCCCCUCUGUUAGUCUAAUUUCCUAAGCUCACCAAUUCCCUUUGUAUUACAGCAGAGGGUACUUGGGACUGUUAAAGUGUUUAUUUGCAGCUCUGGUCCCUUCUCUUAGUCUGGGGUCCAUGCCCCCAGCUUUGUUUGCAUUACCACAGAGGGUACUUGGAACUGUGAAUGUGCUUAAAUUCAGGUGUGGUCCCUUUUAAUUUAGGAUUCCUCAACUCCUUUUACCAGGGAGGGCAUUUGGGACUGUCAAGGUGGUAAGGGCACCUGCGUUCCUUUCUUUCUGUUCAUCUAGGAUCCCAUUCCCUCCUACUCCCUUUGUAUUGCAUGGGAGGAUUUGGGGGGCUCUUAAGGUGCUUAACUGCAGCUGUGGUCCCUCCUAUUAGUUUCCAAUCCCUUUCUACUCCCUUUGCAUUACCACAGAGGGUACUUGGGACUGUUGUAGUACAUCCCAUUCUCUCAUGCCUGUUAGCAUUACAGCACAAGGUCCUGAACACCACGGCCCUUUCUUUUGCACUGUUAAUGCACAAUUUCAUUUGUCCCUCAUCUUCUGCAGUAUUUAUAGACCUCACUCAUUUCCCUUGUAUUUAGUGGUGAAUGCCCUUUACUCAAGACCUGUGUACUAGGAUAGUUAAAGUGAGCCAUGGUAAUUGACCCCAAAUAAUGUCUUUCACUUAAGUCCCUUGUAUUCUUUGUUUUACAAGAAGAUGUAUUAAUUACCUCAGUUACUUCCUUCUGGGAGUGUUUACAUGCAAAAUUCCAGUGUUCAUGGCCCCUUUCUUUAAACUAAUACCCCUCCUUUUUUAUAUUCAGGGGAUGUUAGUGACCCAAAGUCCCUCUCUUGGGAUUCUAAUGUGCAUGUGCCCUCGUGAUAAGCUAAUACGUUGAGUUCAGGGAUUACUGACUACCCAAGUCUUUUUUUGGUGGGGGUGGGGGACAGUUAAUGUGCAAAAUUAUACUAGGAUCCCAUCCUAUCCCACCCCUUUUGCAUUUGGGGUGCUGACCAACUGUGGCUGCUUCUCCUGUACAGUUUAAAUGCACAUAAUUUCAGUAAUCCAUGCUCCCUUAUGUUAGACUAGAAUCCCAUUUUCUUGCCCCAUUUACAUUACUUUGGGAGCUUCUGAAUAGCCAAGAUUCAUUUUCUUGGACUGUUAAUGUGUAUACUGCCAUUUGCUCCUGUACAUCAGGUAAGGACCCUCUCCAUUCUAUUUAUAUUUCAGCAGGAGGUGCCUACUUCUUAAGAUUUAUAUACUUCUGCAGUUAAUCUGCAUAAUCUUAGUUGUCCUGUACACAUUCUCAAUUGUCCACAACUGCUUUUUAGGUUAGGACUCCUUUACUUAUUUAAGCACAGCAUACUGACUACCUUAAAGGCCUUGUCUUGGGACUGUUACUAUGUGUAAUUACAAUUGUCCAUGGUCCUUUGAGUUAACUUGUGUCCCAAUUUUCACACUCUCUUUACUUUAUUGCAAUGGGGUACUGUUCACUUAAGGCCCCUUUCUCAAACAGUAAUAUAUGUAAUGACAAUUACAUUAGGAUCCUUCCCCUUCACAUUCCCUUUGAAGUACCACAAGGAUUCUGAUCCCUAAGGUCCCAUUUCUUGACCUGUUAAUGUACGUGAUGUAUUUGUCUGGGUUCUUGUGCAUUCCUUUUCUCUUCCAGCAGGAAGUGCCCCCUCCACAAGACUGUUAAGUUUGGACAGUCAAGAUGCACAUUUGUAACUGACUGCAGCCAGUCACCUUGGAUGUUAAUGUGUAUAACUGCACAUGGCUCAUCCCAUAUGAAUAAGAUCCUACCCUCUCAGACCCCUUCUCUAGUAUAGCAAGGGUACUGAUUCCUAAGACCUCUUUCCAUGGCUAGUUAUUGUACAUAAUUUGCUUUUGUACAUGUUCCUGUACACUAAAUAAGGAUGCCCCUCUUCCCACUCCCUUUGUCUUUUACAGGGAGCGUACACUACUUUAAGAUCCUUAUAUUUAUUUGUACAAAGUACAUGAUUUUAAUUGACCAUACCAUACCCUUUGGACAUUAAUGUACAUAAUUACACCUUAAUUCAUCUUAUCCUUUUGCUCUCCAUUUGCAGUAUAUCAGGGUUUGUGACCCUAAAUCAGCUCUUUCCUUGGCCUAUUAAUGUGCAUAAUUGCAUUUGUCCAGGUUCUUGCACACUAGACAAGGACACCCCCCCACCCCCGCCAACUUCCUAUGCCUUCCGGUAAGUAGGUGGUUCCCACUGCUAAGACCUUUAUAUUUGGACAGUUAAUGUGCAGAAUUGCAGUUUUCCACAACCCAGUUACUUCCAGGACUGCUGUAUCUCCUUUGCAAUACCUCAAGGGAUACUGUUUUUCCCCAAGAUCGUUUCUUGUGGACCGUCAAUAUAUGUAAUUGAAAUGGUUGUCUUCAUCCAUAGACUGAGAUAAUAUCCCCUCAGCUAACUAUCAUGACCUCAGCUCUUGGACAAUUAAUAUUCACCAAUAACAUAUCAAAAGUACUGAUCAUUAGAUAGGACCCCUGUUCCCUUACUGUAUACAUCAGGGAUACUGACUAAGGCCCCCUUUUUUGACUGUUAAUGCGAAUAUUUGCAAUUAUCUAAUUCCCCUUCUAUUAGAGUAGGACAUUAUUUCCUUGCACCCCAUUCGGAUUACUGAAAGGGGCUGCUGACCACACAAAACUUCUACUGGGACUGCUGAUGAGCACAAUGACGAUGAGAAAUGGGUUUUUACUCCCUGGCCUUGUUGGGCAAGCGCUCCCAGCCCAGCCCCAAUUUCCCAUGGUAUAAUAAAGUAUAAAUACUGCAGUGUGCCAUGAACUUUCCAUCAAACAGCAGCCCAUACUCCCACUCUACUUGCAUUGGCUCCAGUGUAUCAAAUUCCAAAUAGCUAUGGUCUUGCCCUUAUGUUCCCUCUCCAUACCCUUUGCCUGCCCUUGGACCUUUCUUAUGGACUAUUAAUGCUCACAAUUUUCAGGUGUCCAUGUAUCCAGAUAAGAUUGUGCUCCCUUGCCCCUCCUGCCCCUUCCACCCCUGCCCUGCCCUUUUGCAUUGUUGCUGGGAAAUGUCCACUGGCAAAGCCCUUUUGUUUUUAAGACAUUAACAAUCCCAGAUGUCAUUGCUUUGCCCAUUUUGAAUUGCUGUAAUGCCUCAGUUACCCUUUCUUUGGUUCCGCCCAUCAGACAUGGACCCUUCCACUUCCUUCUUUGCAUUACUCCUGAGUAGUACUGACUACCCACAGCCCCUUCUGUGUUAUUAACACAGUAUUGAUUGUCCCAUUUUUUCAGCCCACCAGCCCAAGGUCUCCCUACCACUUUGAUGUUGUAUUUGUGCAGUAUUGACUACCAAAAGCAGACCUGAACUAUGUGGGUGGGCCUUCACUCCUUUUCCUGCAUUUGUUAAUGAUCCCAAUUCCAAUUAUUGUAACAUUCUGGGGACAGGAACCAUUCCUGCCCCUCUUUUACUGCUUUACUAGGCAAAAUUUUUAAGGCAAGUCAGACCCAAGGGAACUUGGAUUGCUACCCUGUAUUUAUUUAUUAUUUAUUAUAUAUAAGUAUCAAUUGAAAAUUAUCUCCCCAGGAAGGAAGUUUAGCAUUGUCUCUGCAUUCUUCCUUUCAGAGCAGAUUGCCUGGCUAAGAAUCUCUCUUGGCCUCUUGUAUAUUCCCAACAUGUAAUGCCAAUUGCCAGGAUACAACCAAAAAGUUGUUAUUUUUUAAAUUUUUUAAAACGUACAUCUGGUUUGCAAGGUGGAAUUGAUAACCUGGUCAUUGAAUUUUUGAAGUCUUAAAAACCCAUUUAUUCCAUGUAUCUGAUGACCAGUGUCUCUCAUUUACUAAGGGUGGUGGGUCUGUGGAUAGACGGCUGUGACUUUGAUAUUUUAGUAUUACUACCAAAGGAGUUCUAGAAUGGAAUUCUUAGGACAAGUAUCUUUGGGCUCUACCACCAUUUUGAAACCAUUCCUGUUUUGGCUAUACCAUUAUUCACUUUUAGAAAAACAACCUGAACUUCCUAAUCCUUAAAUUUCUUCAUCUGGAGCAUCAACCAGCCCCUGCUUAUUUCAAGAACAUUGCUAUAAAUGGAUAAAAUGAGAAAACAUAUCCUGAAGUGCUUUUUGGAAACUGUUGAUCACUUUGUUUGAUUAAUCUGUUAAAUAAAAUGCGUUACAUUAAAUUCUUAGCCUAAAGCACCACACUGAAGUGAGGGCUUAGAAAUGAUGGGACCAGUUUUCUGUUUUAUAUUAAAAUAAAAAUAAGCCAAGAUCUAGUCAUUCUUUUGGAUAUAGGUUUUCAGGAGUGAGAUAGCUGCCUGGUUAAGAUGAAUAAUAGCCUAGCUUCCAGUGUACAGGGUGUUUGAUGGCAGAGAAGUAUUAAUGUGGAACUGCUGAAGGAAAUAACUAGUUAUCACUGCAGCAGUUCCUUGUAAUCACUGAAAAGGAUACUCUUCUCUGAGAAGGAUGUCAAAAGAUCGGCUCAGCUCAGGGUGCAGUUUGCACUACUAGCUCCUUGGACAGCUGUAAGAAGAGUCUCUGGCUCUUUAGACUACUGGAUGAAUUCUGAGCCGGUACCCCCACCUCAAGAGGAAGGAUGGAUCAAUUUUAGGUGAAUUGAAGCCUAUACUAAACAGCCUCCAAAGGAUAUUCCAAGCAAGUGAGCCCUGAGACUGCAAGCAGCUCUAAGAAGUUCCGCAUUGAUCAGGUCUUCCCUUUUGAGAAUCUGGAUAAGCUCCAACCAAUCUAAAAGGAUGGUUUGCAGACUGUCUGGAGAAAAAGAUCUUCCUCAGAAGAAUAGGCUUGUUGCCUUACAGUGUUAGUGACUCAUUCCCUUUGAUGAUCCUUAGGUGGAGAUGGGGCAUGAGGAUCCUCCAGGGGAAAAGCUCACUACCACUGGGCAACAACCCUAGGUCAGGAGAUUCUACUAAGAUUCUUUCCUGGGUCCAGAUAGGAAGAUGAAGUCUCAAGACAACCACCACACAUCUGAGGAAAACAGGGACAACAACUGCCAUAUCUUACAUUCAUCAUGACAUUCAUCAUGAGCAGAUCAUAAUUCUGGACCCUUUGAUCCCCAAAGCCUCCCUUGAGGCCCUGUUGGAGAACUUCACCAAUCAUUUAUAUACUUCAAGAUGCCUUGGGAUAACUGGACAAAACAAAAAAACAACCUGUUUGAGAAGAUAAAACAGUUGUAUCUUUUUAUGCUGUGCCUGCUAAUUGAAAGAAGCCUCAUAACUAUGAAUGUGAACCUGACUAGGAAUGGAACAAAGUUAUCUAUCAUCAGCCUGGAUCUAAAGAAUCAGGACCCUGCAUACUCUAGCUCCUGAUUGUUCCCUUCAUAUUUGCCAAAUCGUUAUCUUUCUAAGAAGCAGUGUAGAGAGCAAGAAAUUUGAACACACCAAAGGAAGAUCAACAUGCCUGGCGGUCUGGCAUUUUAAAACAGGAUGAAUGAUUGUCUGCCUUUGCUUAUCUUAAACUCUUAAGUGUGUAUUUGUUUGCUUGUCUCUUUCUUUCUUCCUUGCGCAUCUUUGGUCUUUUUCUCUAAAUUGUGUCUUACCCAUUUCCAUGAUUCUUUUGCUAGUUUCUUCUCAGUAUAUCUUUGUCUCCUUUUUUGUACCUGAGUGUGCGGUCUGUGUCUCGUCUUAGAUGUCUCUCUCUAGUUUCUUUUUUUCAUUUUGUUAUUGAUUCUCCUUGGUCUCCUAGAUCUGGCUCUUUCACUGUUGUUCACUUUGUGUCUCUUGAGUCACAUACUAUGUGCUCUUUGCUCAUUUCUUGUUAUGCCUACCUUUCUUCUUUUUCUCUUUGUGAAUUCUGAUUGUCUGUUAUCCAUUCCCCUUCUUGUUCGUUUGACAUUUCACCUAGUCUAAUACUGGCUACCCUUUUGCUGUUUCUACUCCUGAUCUCACAUUUCUCUUUUCACAUAUUCUUUUUGCCUCUCUUGGGCCAUUUUCUCUUUUUCGUGCUUUGUAUGCUUCUGUGUCUCUUUGUGCUUUGUGAUUUUCCAUUUCAACAUCCAUCUCUCUGUUCUCUUAUUUCUUCUCUACUUUUGACUUCCUAUUCACCUUUGAGUAUUUUGGCCUCUUCUUGUGUCUAUGUCUCCCCUUUGAUUACAUGCAAUUCUCUCGCCUUGCACAUUUUCUAUGUAUGUGUGUGGGCUCUUGUGUGUUUGUAACAAAGGGGCUUCCUAACCCCUUCUCAGUAGGUGCAAGAGUGUCAGCUACCAAAAUAAGCAUUGCAGAGCUGUUCCUUAUGCCAGACCAUGCUGUGAGAUGCUGUGAGAUUGUGCUGUGAAAUGAUCCAAGACCAAUAGAAGGCCCAAGAUCUGGACUGGAGUUGGAUGGAAGGCUAAAGUCUCAGUGAAACUGAAGGCCAAAGACCUAAGACUCAAGCCUGUGUAUAUGGACAGAAGGCCCAAGAGAGACAGAUAUCUCAAGACUAAAUUAAGUGGGAAGCUCAAGGUCCAUGGCCCAGAAUCUGGGAAUGAUAGAAGCACCAAGACCAAGGGAAAUUACAAGAUGAUAACCCUAAAUCCCAGCUCUUUUCUAUUGUUCUCCUCCCUACUCUUGGAUAUUUUCACUUCUUCCUUUCCUGUUCUUAUACCACCAUUUAAACCCACUUUUGUGAUGUUCUUUUUGAUGUUGCUGUUACCUUAAAGUUAAAGAAACAUAUCUUCAAAUCAACAGUAUUAUGCCUGGGCCAGUCUUAAACCAGUUUUUUUAAACUUCCAUUUCUCUUCACCUCCACUCCACUUGAGAGACACAUAGGUGACAUUAUAUUUCAGUCCUCUCUUUUCCUCAGAUACUCUAGGCUAAUGAGAAGAGGAAAGUAUCAUGCUGUUGAGGGGGAAAAAAUGUGCCAGGCUAUCUAGAGAAAAUAUGAAGAGAUGCUCCAGGCCAAUGAGAAGAAUUAGACAGGAAAUACACAGAUGCGCCAGCCUGCUGAGAAGCAUCAGCCAGCAACACCUUACUCCUUUGAGCUUAGGUGAGCAGGAUUCCUGAGGUUUGGGUACUAGUGAUGGUUAUGAAAAAGGAAAUUGGGUCUGGGACAGAGUGAGGGAGGUCCCAAGGAGAUAGCCUGAACUCCCUGCUCAUAGUAGUGGCCUAAUAAUUUGGCAAACUGCACUAACCUUGCGCCUGGUUUUAAUACCCACCUCUAGGCUUAAAGUUGAAAGAACUUACGCGUAUUUAGCAGGUUUAAUACUUUCCUUCAUUUCUUUCCUCUUACCAUGAGGGAAGAUAAUUUAAAUGAAAAUAUAUGUGAAACCUUUGUAAAACACAAAAAAACAAAGCAUUCUCAUUAAUAACAUAUUGGCAUUUGUGCACAGCAAAGAUUUGGAAAUGUACUGUCAGUUGUGAAGUACUAUGUAAAUCAGGGGUCAUCAUAUGCUUUCUGUAAAAGAUCAGAAGGUAAAUCUUGAGGGCCAUAUGGUUUCCUGCUUUAAAAAAACAAGUGAAUUUGGUCUGUGGGCCAUAGUUUAUUACCCCUGAUGUAAUUGCCAGGGACUGUGUUCUGAAAUUAAUUCCUUCUCUGUGCCUGUCCCUGUAUUAGGCACUAAGGAUGUAAUGAUUACUUAUGAUCAUAUCUAGGUGAUCCAAAGAAAAGUAUGUAAAUGUGCUUUGUAAACUAUAAAGCACUUAAAGACUGGUAAAUGAACUCUGAUUACAUAGUAUAUACAAGCCAAGCAAUGUAUAUACAGUGUUAGGCACUGUGGAUACAAAAACCUGAGGGAUUUAAGAUAAUUGUGAACACUUAUAAUGUGCCAGAUAACAUUCUAGGCAUUACAGAUGUCAAAGGAAAAAACAAGUUCUCAUUACAGAAUUAAAAUUUUUACAUAGGAAGUACAUAUUAAAGUGCUUUGUAGGAGUUCCCGUCGUGGCUCAGUGGUUAAUGAACACGACUGGCAUCCAUGAGGACACAGGUUCAAUCCCUGGCCUCGCUCAGUGGGUUAAGGAUCUGGUGUUGCCGUGAGCUGUGGUGUAGGUCGUAGAUGCGGCUCAGAUCCCUCGUUGUUGUGCCUGUGGCGUAGGCCAGCAGUUACAGCUCCAAUUCAACCCCUAGCCUGGGAACCUCCAUAUGCUGCUGGUGCAGCCCUAAAAGACAAAAAGAAAAAAAAAAACAACAAAAAAAAAUAAAGUGCUUUGUAAACUAAAGCACCACAUAAGUACCAAUGGGCUAUAUAUGUUUACGAAUGAAUAAACAAAUAUUAAUUGCCUUAUAUGUGCCAGCUAUUAUUUCAGGUACUGUGAAAUCUAAGAUAAUACUCCCAAGUAAUAAGAGGGAGGUUUAUGUCUUACACUACAGAGGUAUAAGAAUUAGAUAUUGCUUAUUUUAGUCAAUCAAGACUUUACCAGUGAGGUCAGAUUAAAUUAUUACCAGGAUGUUUUCCCAGGUAACAGGAAAAUGUAAUGAAUGAGAUUGAGUUUUCUAAACUAUAAAAUGCUUCAUAAACAUAAGACAUUAGAUGUUUUCUAUGUGAAUAAAACUUAUGUGAGGCAGGCAUUAUCUCUACAAAAUUCUCAUUGUGUGCGUAACCCACUACGAGAAAAAUUGUAUAAAUAUUUAUACAAACUGUUUAAAUACUUAAGUGAAUUAAUUAUUCAUAUCAAUUGCCUACUAUGUGAACUCACUGUUAGAGGCAUGAAAGAUAUGCACACAUUUAUCAUUUUAUUGUGCCUGUAAAUGAGAAUAAAGUAAUACAUAUGUUAGCAUUUUGUGAACUCUAAAGCACCAUGUAAAUAUAACUAUUGAUCUUCUUAUUUGGUGUGCCUGUACUAGUUUACAAAAUUGCAUCAUAGUUAUACUAUGAAAAAGAGAAAAAAAAUUGAGGAAGGAUUUUUUUACUCUUGAACACUUUGAAUAUGAUAUUUAAAGGAUUAAAUGCCUGAUGAAUGAAAGACUAAAUAAUAAUUUUCUAUUAUGUGCCAGUCUCCUGAAUCAGGGCUGUGAAGAUAAUCCAUUGUUUUAUUGUGUUCUAGGUAGCAGAAUGUAAUGUGUAAAAUCAAUUUGUAAGUCUUAAACUGGCAUACAUUUCUGCUGAAUGAACAUUGAUUAGUUACUCUUUCUUAUCCCCAGAGAUAGCAAGUGGGGAUGCUAAAUUCAUUGUCAUUGUCACUGAACCUGCAACAGAGAUCUGUGUGUAAAUUUACAAAGCCUAUUGAUCUAUACAAAUAUUAGGAAUUAACUGUUGGCUCAAUGAGUGAUUACCAGUUACUUUCUAUGAGGCUCAGAACUGCACAUGCUCUAGGAUAUGAAAAUGAUAUCCUUAUCUGAUGUUCCCUGGAGGAAAUGAGGUAAUAGGUGUGGGAAUCUAGACUGAAAGUUACUUAAUCACUGCCAAGCUUAUUUGAUGGCAAAAACAUAGGAAAAAUGGAAUUGUGCAAGGCAGUAUGCUUCUGAAUGCUGAGCUAGGUGGAAAGAAAAUCCAGACCAGAAGGCUACUUGCUCCUUUGCCUGAUUGACGAGAUGGGAUUUUUUUCUUUAAGCAAGAUGUUGUGCUUGUUUUUAAAUUCUAAAGAUGGAGGUGAAUGAGAUCCACCCUGACAUGGCAUUAAAGGAGUAAAAAUUAAUGGCUCAAGUUGCUUUUAGAUUAAUUUGAUAAACAGUAUCUUUUAUGUGGAAUACAUUGUUCUAGGUCCUGAGCAUAACAGAAAUGAAAGGGGCCUAGUCUAAAGGGCAUUAGGUAGAUAACAAAUCAUGGCUGAAAAUUCAGAAAUGUCUUUGAUUUCUGGAAAUAUUUGAGUGCCUCUGGAAGAAUUUGUUGAUUAGAUCUGAUCCAAAAAAACCUAUUGACUUGCCUUGGAAAUUGAAAAAAUAGGGAAAAAAAGAUAUGAUUCUGUCAAUGUAAAAUGACAUUUUUCCUAGAUCUGGAAAGUCCCAGUGUCACUUGGUCAUUGACAUAGAUUGAAGCCAGAAGAUUGAUAAAAGAGCUCAUGGUUUGACCUUUAAUUCUUUAACAUUCUGCUUUUAUUAUGGUUAAAUGGUUUAUGAUGAAAAUCAAGCUGAAACAACUAGUUCUAAAAGUGUUUUGUUUUGUUUUUUUUUUUUUUUUACUCAUUGGUCUGCCAGAGAGUCAGAAAGCCACUUAACUAAAAACUAAAAAAAAAAAAAUAAUAAAAACUUCCUAGAUUUUUCAUAUUUUGUAAAAAAACUAGUCACUUGAGUGAAGUACUGUUCUUAAGUACCAAGAAUGAAGAUUUUCAAGAUCUAGAUCAAAAUAUAAUUUUGGUAGCUUAUAGAGGAAACAUAAGAACAAAUUUAAUAAGAGACUGAAGUUCUUUCAUUAGUUGAAAAACUUCAUUGAGCAGCCAUGAUAUUAAGAAACUGAAAUGGAAUGGUUAAGUAGACACCUUCUGCUUGGCAUGUGUGGUAGCGUAGGAAUAAGAGACCUUUGUGUUUACUCAUUCAUGUAAACACUGAAGAAGAUGAUGCUAAAUUAAAUAGAUGUGGCACAAAAGCACUUAGUCUUGGAGAUGUAGUUAAAAACAACAGUAAGAAGAAAUGGAGUGAAACUCUUCAUGAAACAGAAAUGUCUAUUUCAAGGCAUUGUGUGAUACUCCUAGACAGAAAACAAAAGAUCUUGACUGAAAGAUACUUGCUUGGCUUGGAAACUGAAAUAUAAGAGGAGAGGUUACUGUUUAUUCAUAUUUUCAUUUAUUUGUUCAUUCUGCCAGUAUAUUUGAGUGCCUACUGUGUGUAAGCUUUCUUGGCUAGUUUCUUAGUUGGCCCCAGAGACAUGAAAAAAUGAAUGUCUUCCAAGAGAACUUAGAACUUUAAAAACUUGCCUUUUGGCCAGUUUUCUGGUUAGGGGCAAGGCUUAGUUCCUCACUAACAUUGUGUAGCUUAAUUCUUGCUCCAUAUUUCCUCUGCUACUCUGGCCACUACAAUAAGCAGGGAUUUCUAUUGCGCUUGCUCCUUCCUUAACAAUAGUACUUCAUUUUUCCUAGUCCAUCCUUAAUGAAAAAUGGCCGUGAACUUUGGUGGGCAGGAGAGAUGAGAAACAAUUGAUUCCCUAACUCUAGUCUCAUUGGUACCAGCUUUUGGGAACAUUCAUAUUCAAGCCACAACUGGUUUUGAAACACAUUUACCAGUUUUGAUGAUUCUCAGUUCACCUUUUAUAUUAUGGCAAAUGUAUUUUUAAGAGACAAUCCCCCAAAAGUACAUAACAAGUUUGGAGAUGUUUUGGUUUUGCAGUAGCUUCUCACCUUACACUUAGAAAUCUUUUCCUUCUCACCAUCAAAACCUGCUUAAGAAAGGACUUAUUAUUUGUAACAGAAUAGUGCAGAGAAUGAAAAUAACAAUUUUAUUCUUAAGUUUUAGGAAUAAUAAAAAUUGGAAGUAAUUGGAAAAAAUUGGAUAGAAGAAAUACCCCCACCAAAAAAAGUCUAAAUUUUGACCCAAAUGGGCUUUGGCCUUUUCUAUUUUUAAAUCACUCAGAGAGGGUGGGAUAGGAGGAAGAGUGAAAGAAAAGGUCAGACCUAGUUCGAUGGGCAACCUGCCUUUGUUCUGGAUUGGUCUUAAAAGUAUUACUACCUCCAGAUCUAACUUGGGGGAUUGCAUCUUUAGUUUAAAUGCAACUCCAGUAACUGGUCACUAUUAAGAUGAGGACAAAUUCCUUUGUUCCCCCUCAUUUCUAUAUGUUUUUGAGAAACAUUUUUUGUUAAUGGCUGUCAAUUAAGCCUUGUGCUAGAUGUUAUGAAGUUGAUUAAUUAAAUCAAUGUAGUCUUAAGCUAAAGCCGAAAUUCAUUGCAAAAGAAGAGGGCUUUUUUGUUUACUGUAAGUCAUACAUAUUUCAUACAUAUUUCAAAGCAUCCAAACUUUAGUUUACAUGGCAAGCCAACAGUAACAUCUGUGAUGGAGAAGGAAAUAGAUGAAUGGCGAAGGAUAGUUGCUGAAGGGAGCAAAGUUGAAGAGGAUUUUCUGACAUGUUAAUAAUGUUUAAUAAAAAAAAUAAUGUUUAAUAUAUGA
rnacentral:sRNA from 1 species